rnacentral:rRNA from 1 species
UGCUGGAGGUAUCAGAAGUGCGAAUGCUGACAUAAGUAACGAUAAAGCGGGUGAAAAGCCCGCUCGCCGGAAGACCAAGGGUUCCUGUCCAACGUUAAUCGGGGCAGGGUGAGUCGACCCCUAAGGCGAGGCCGAAAGGCGUAGUCGAUGGGAAACAGGUUAAUAUUCCUGUACUUGGUGUUACUGCGAAGGGGGGACGGAGAAGGCUAUGUUAGCCGGGCGACGGUUGUCCCGGUUUAAGCAUGUAGGCUGGUUAUCCAGGCAAAUCCGGAUAAUCAAGGCUGAGGUGUGAUGACGAGGUACUACGGUGCUGAAGUAACAAAUGCCCUGCUUCCAGGAAAAGCCUCUAAGCAUCAGGUAACAUCAAAUCGUACCCCAAACCGACACAGGUGGUCAGGUAGAGAAUACCAAGGCGCUUGAGAGAACUCGGGUGAAGGAACUAGGCAAAAUGGUGCCGUAACUUCGGGAGAAGGCACGCUGGUGUGUAGGUGAAGUCCCUGCGGAUGGAGCUGAGACCAGUCGAAGAUACCAGCUGGCUGCAACUGUUUAUUAAAAACACAGCACUGUGCAAACACGAAAGUGGACGUAUACGGUGUGACGCCUGCCCGGUGCCGGAAGGUUAAUUGAUGGGGUUAUCCGUAAGGAGAAGCUCUUGAUCGAAGCCCCGGUAAACGGCGGCCGUAACUAUAACGGUCCUAAGGUAGCGAAAUUCCUUGUCGGGUAAGUUCCGACCUGCACGAAUGGCGUAAUGAUGGCCAGGCUGUCUCCACCCGAGACUCAGUGAAAUUGAACUCGCUGUGAAGAUGCAGUGUACCCGCGGCAAGACGGAAAGACCCCGUGAACCUUUACUAUAGCUUGACACUGAACAUUGAGCCUUGAUGUGUAGGAUAGGUGGGAGGCUUUGAAGCGUGGACGCCAGUCUGCGUGGAGCCAACCUUGAAAUACCACCCUUUAAUGUUUGAUGUUCUAACGUAGGCCCCUUAUCGGGGUUGCGGACAGUGUCUGGUGGGUAGUUUGACUGGGGCGGUCUCCUCCCAAAGCGUAACGGAGGAGCACGAAGGUUAGCUAAUCCUGGUCGGACAUCAGGAGGUUAGUGCAAUGGCAUAAGCUAGCUUGACUGCGAGCGUGACGGCGCGAGCAGGUGCGAAAGCAGGUCAUAGUGAUCCGGUGGUUCUGAAUGGAAGGGCCAUCGCUCAACGGAUAAAAGGUACUCCGGGGAUAACAGGCUGAUACCGCCCAAGAGUUCAUAUCGACGGCGGUGUUUGGCACCUCGAUGUCGGCUCAUCACAUCCUGGGGCUGAAGUAGGUCCCAAGGGUAUGGCUGUUCGCCAUUUAAAGUGGUACGCGAGCUGGGUUUAGAACGUCGUGAGACAGUUCGGUCCCUAUCUGCCGUGGGCGCUGGAGAAUUGAGGGGGGCUGCUCCUAGUACGAGAGGACCGGAGUGGACGCAUCACUGGUGUUCGGGUUGUCAUGCCAAUGGCACUGCCCGGUAGCUAAAUGCGGAAGAGAUAAGUGCUGAAAGCAUCUAAGCACGAAACUUGCCCCGAGAUGAGUUCUCCCUGAGACUUUAAGUCUCCUGAAGGAACGUUGAAGACGACGACGUUGAUAGGCCGGGUGUGUAAGCGCAGCGAUGCGUUGAGCUAACCGGUACUAAUGAACCGUGAGGCUUAACCUUACAACGCCGAAG